GAUGAACGCUGGCGGCGUGCUUAACACAUGCAAGUCGAACGAUGAAGCCCGUGCUUGCACGGGUGGAUUAGUGGCGAACGGGUGAGUAUCACGUGAGUAACCUGCCCUUAACUCUGGGAUAAGCCUGGGAAACUGGGUCUAAUACCGGAUACGACCAGUCACCGCAUGGUGUGCUGGUGGAAAGCUUUUGCGGUUUUGGAUGGACUCGCGGCCUAUCAGCUAGACGGUGGGGUAAUGGCCUACCGUGGCGAUGACGGGUAGCCGGCCUGAGAGGGUGACCGGCCACACUGGGACUGAGACACGGCCCAG
rnacentral:rRNA from 1 species